GAUCCACGCUUGCGCUCAUUAUAAAACAGUGUUUGGUUGUUUGAUGUGCUCGCUCAGAUGCUCAGGAUCACUCACAAUCACUGACAAUCACUGAUAAUCGCUGACAAUCAUUAAUGGCGUCGUCAUAGGCCAUAAGUAUAAUUUACGAGGGUGCUACCGUAUUAUAUUUUACGACAAAUGGCGAUAAGAGGGAAAUUCAAAUGAAACUCGACAGAAAAUUUGACGGCCAAAAAGACAUAAAACUUUAUGUGAAAGAAAAUUUGAUGUCGUUUCUCAAUUAAAUUCGAAUUAACCGAUUUGUUAAAUAAAUAUUUACAUUGAUAAUUUAUGAACGUUAAUAUACCUCUAAAUAAACAAUGCAUGAACUUUUAUUUUAUUA